rnacentral:lncRNA from 1 species
UCUUAUAUUAAAUGAUAAUUAUACAUUUCUAAUUAUUUUGGUAUGGAAGAAUCAUUUUUUAGAAAUUAAAAUAAGGAAAGUGGCCAUUUAAACAAUAGCCAAAUUAGGCUUUCAAUUGUAGCCAAAGUUGGACCAAUCCCCAGCCCAAUUUUCCCAAUAAAUAUCUCGACCCAGACCCUAUAAAACCCUACCUAAACCCGGAACCCACCUACCUAGUUGAAUCUUGAUGGUUGAUCUCCCAGAUCAACAGUCCAAACAAGCUCCUUCCUUUUUUAAUCCUAAAGAUCACAUAACCCUAAUCACUUUUCUAACUUGCUGCCUUCAGAUGCUCUCGUCUCUCUUCUCUCUCAACCUAACCCUAAUCACUUUUAACCGCCACCUCAUUCUCCGUUCAUCUCCGAUGACCUCCUUUCAACCCUAAGCCUCCAAUGGGUCUCUCAUUGCCUUGCUCGUCAUCUCUAAGCCCUUCAAGGAUCCUGGGCCAUGCUGACUUGGACCUAGUGUUUCUGUUUCUGCUACUCAUAGCUUCUCCAUGUGAUUUUGGGCAAAAUCACACCUUAUAUGUCACUAUUGGGGAAUUUUACAACAGGUUCUUUCGAUUUCUAUUGGUUCUCCUUUGAAACCAUAACUCUCGUUUGAAUCUCUCAAAUAUGUGCUAUUUUUAUUCUUUAAGUCUAUUUCUUCCUAUUUUUACACUACUCUCAAAAUUCUUCUAAAAAAUCCUCUAAUUCAAACCAUUUUUACUUUCUUUAAAAAAAAAUUAGGGUUUUCUCUGAGUUUUUUCUAUCCCUGUUUUAAC